UACGAAGGGGGCUAGCGUUGCUCGGAAUCACUGGGCGUAAAGAGCUCGUAGGCGGCCUGUUGCGUCCGCUGUGAAAGCCCGGGGCUUAACCCCGGGUCGCAGUGGAUACGGGCAGGCUAGAGGUAGGUAGGGGAGAAUGGAAUUCCCGGUGUAGCGGUGAAAUGCGCAGAUAUCGGGAGGAACACCGGUGGCGAAGGCGGUUCUCUGGGCCUUACCUGACGCUGAGGAGCGAAAGCGUGGGGAGCGAACAGG
rnacentral:rRNA from 1 species